rnacentral:rRNA from 1 species
UACGGGGGGAGCAAACGUUGUUCGGAAUUACUGGGCGUAAAGGGCGCGUAGGCGGCCACCGCAAGUCAGUUGUGAAAGCUCUGGGCUUAACCCAGAAAGGUCAGCUGAUACUGCGGGGCUAGAGUGCAGAAGGGGCAACUGGAAUUCUCGGUGUAGCGGUGAAAUGCGUAGAUAUCGAGAGGAACACCUGCGGCGAAGACGGGUUGCUGGGCUGACACUGACGCUGACAGCGCGAAAGCUAGGGGAGCGAACGGG